CCAAACCCCACUAACUGGAUAUGAAGGUGUGUCACAGCAGAGAGGGGGGAGUGGUGACCUGGGAAUGUGGCAGGGGAGUUUCACUGAGAGCCUGUAACCUGAGCCAGGAGGGGGAGGGGGAGGCAACACCUCUGCCCUGGGAAUGUGGACAAAGGCGGCAGGAGGGAGCCUGCU